AUUGAACGCUGGCGGCAGGCCUAACACAUGCAAGUCGGACGAGCGGCGGACGGGUGAGUAAUGUAUGGGAAUCUGCCUUAUGGAGGGGGAUAACUACUGGAAACGGUAGCUAAUACCGCGUACCAUAGGAUGAGCCCAUGUGGGAUUAGCUAGUUGGUGAGGUAACGGCUUACCUAGGCGACGAUCCCUAGCUGGUCUGAGAGGAUGAUCAGCCACACUGGGACUGAGACACGGCCCAGACUCCUACGGGAGGCAGCAGUGGGGAAUAUUGCACAAUGGGAGCAAGCCUGAUGCAGCCAUGCCGCGUGUAUGAAGAAGGCCUUCGGGUUGUAAAGUACUUUCAGUCGGGAGGCGUUACCGACAGAAGAAGCACCGGCUAACUCCGUGCCAGCAGCCGCGGUAAUAC
rnacentral:rRNA from 1 species